rnacentral:rRNA from 1 species
GAUGAACGCUGGCGGCGUGCCUAAUACAUGCAAGUCGAGCGAACAGACGAGGAGCUUGCUCCUCUGACGUUAGCGGCGGACGGGUGAGUAACACGUGGAUAACCUACCUAUAAGACUGGGAUAACUUCGGGAAACCGGAGCUAAUACCGGAUAAUAUAUUGAACCGCAUGGUUCAAUAGUGAAAGACGGUUUUGCUGUCACUUAUAGAUGGAUCCGCGCCGCAUUAGCUAGUUGGUAAGGUAACGGCUUACCAAGGCGACGAUGCGUAGCCGACCUGAGAGGGGGAUCGGCAGCACGGGGACUGAGACACGGCCCAGACACCUACAGGAGGCAGCAGUAGGGAGGCGGCGGAAAUGGACGGAAGGCGGACCGAGCAACGCCGAGUGAGUGAAGAAGAAUUUCGGAUCGUAAAGAGCUGUUGUAAGAGAAGAACAAGUGUGAGAGUGGAAAGUUCACACUGUGACGGUAGCUUACCAGAAAGGGAAGGCUAACUACGUG